rnacentral:rRNA from 1 species
UACGUAGGGUGCGAGCGUUGUCCGGAAUUACUGGGCGUAAAGAGCUUGUAGGUGGUUUGUCGCGUUGUUCGUGAAAUCUCACGGCUUAACUGUGAGCGUGCGGGCGAUACGGGCAGACUAGAGUACUGCAGGGGAGACUGGAAUUCCUGGUGUAGCGGUGGAAUGCGCAGAUAUCAGGAGGAACACCGAUGGCGAAGGCAGUUCUCUGGGACGGUACUGACGCUGAGACGCGAAAGCGUGGGGAGCGAACAGG